rnacentral:tRNA from 1 species
CUAAAAUUAUCAAAAGAUAUCCCUUU